CGCCAGGGUCCGCAGACACUCAUGCCACUGGGAGAGGAAACAGGAUGAAGCCAUGGACAGCCUGCCCCACAUGGCCCCUGGCCUGUCUCUAGUCAGCACAGCAUGUUCCUGAUCUCAAGGCUCUCACUGCGUGUUAGCUCAAUGUUUGUCAUCAAUUAGAACAAACAGAGCCCGGAGGAACGGGAAAGAAUGGCCCCUCCAUGUUUGUAGAGAGACAACAGCAUAAUUUGACCAGGGAUUUGGACGCAUACGAGGAAAGAGAGGUAUGACUUGAUCUUGGCACACGUUCCCUUAAAUAACUUUUUUUUUUUUUUUUAGCCAGGCGGGGAAGUUAAAUUGCCAUGACAUGCUGCUGCCUAGUCCACAGAGAGAAACGCUGCUUGCUGGAGAGAAGAGCCCGGACAGCAGAGCACCCUCAGCCCUGGCCCCACCCUGAGCAGCUGCUUGGAUCUGCCAGUUAAAGCCUCUGUCUGAAUCCGUGGUGAUGGGCAGGCAUAGUUUGAGGAGGAAGAUACUGUGAAGCAACUGAUGGGGCUUCGCAUGUUCCUUGUUGGGGACGUGAAACCACCUCCCAGCCAACAUGUCUAGGAGCACCCAGGAGGCCCCACCUCCACGGUGUAUGGGGUAUUCUGCUUUAUCUUGUUAACACCUUAUGAUGACCUGGAAUCCAUCAGGGCAUCUUUUUUUGGAGGCUCUCACCUGUGGCAUAUGGAAGUUCCCAGGAUAGGUGUCCAAGCGGAGCUGCAGCUGCUGGCUUACACCACAGCCACGCCAGAUCUGAGCCAUAUCUGCAACCACUGCAGCUCACAGCAAUGAUGGGUCCUUAACCCACUGAGUGAGGCCAGGGAUUGAACCUGCAUUUUCAUGGCUACUGGUUGGAUUCACUACUGCUGGGCCACUGCAGAAACUCCCCAUCAGCAUUCUUGAUCUCACGCAGCAGGACCAGUUACAUGAGGAAGGAGAGAGGGAGAGGAGUGCUGCCUUCAUUCUGCUCGUUGAGAAAAAGGAGACUCAGAGAGAUGCCCACCUCACUCAUCCUGGUAUUACUUAUCCACAGUUUUGUCCCAUCGGGUCCUGACCAACCACACUCAUCAAGUCUGCCUGGCCGUCAAGUUUCUUGGGCGACUUACGGAGCCACGGUUUCAGUCAGUGUGCCCGAAGACAGAGGUUUGGAGGACACACCUAUGGGAGUUAUGUUCUUCCUCUGAGUAAUGAUGGCAGCCAGGAAAUAAGUAAAAAAAAAAAAAAA